GAGAGGGAGUAAGGAGAAUUCCCAGAAGGCCCUGCUUCAUGGUGCCUCCCACUGGUUAAAAGGGGGCGUGACGUGUUUCCUCUUCCUCUUUCCCUGUCUCUUCGAGGAAGAGGUAACAUGGCUCUCUCAUUAACCCAAUUAAAUAGAAAAUAAUCCUUUUAUUAUUAUAUAAAAUUCCUGUAACAAAAGUUUAAACAUAUCAUUAUUAAUAUAUAUCAAGCAAUAUUAAUGUAUGAACUUAAUUUGGUUUGUGUUUUUCUUUUUAUUGUCGGGGUGCACAUGGGCAGAAUGUUGAGCUGCUACAUGCUGCUGGGGAAUUAAUACUUUGCUCUUCAUUACCAGGUAUGUUUUGUUUGUUUUAUUUUUUUUUUAUAUUGAUGUAUAUUUUUUUUCAUUUUCCUCUUUCCCUGUCUCUUCGAGGAAGAGAAUGUUGAGCUGCUACAUGCUGCUGGGGAAUUAAUACUUUGCUCUUCAUUACCAGAGAGAGGAAAAGACACGUGCCAAUAAAGGGACGUCGGAUCCCGAGUCCAGAGGAAGCCAUGCGGUGUCGUCUCUCCCUCUCCCGCACCCACACACCACACACAACAAAAAAAAAUACACAACGCAGAGUGAGAGCAUCAGCUCUCGGACUUUAACCGGGACUAUGUUUUAACUGGACUCGCUUGGCGCGAUCGGGCCGUAAACAAAGACCCAAACGAGACCGGUUACAUGAGGAAAUAAAGACAAACAUGCUUGCAACCGGGCAAUGGGAGCUUUUGAGUGAACUGAGCGAGGGGGUGCAAACUUGUUUCCGUCUCUUGUCGCCUACAGCCAUUAUGCCUGACACUUAAAUACACAAAUAAGUAAAGGCUACGUGAACGUGAAUUAAUUAAAAUGAUAACACAAUGCAAAAAUUUCUGGGUCUGCCAAAUUAUUUGCAAAUGACAUUUACUGUAUGGGAUGAUAUGGUUUCAAAACGUCUGUAACGUCCGCGGGUGGACCGGCAGGCAGGAAGCGGGGAAGGACAAGGCAGGAAGGCAGGAUAAAGGAAAACAGGGUUUAUUAACGGGAGACAGGGUAGACGGCGAACAUUAAUGACGGAUCUGAGGAAUACGGACUUAGACUUGGACUAAAUACACCAGACAUGCCGAAAUUACAGGAAAGAGCUGGGCACAAUAGGGGAGGCACAUGUGGUGAUAUGGGGGCGUGGCACGCACGAGGACUGGACGCACAGGUCAUGACAGCUUCACCAAAUAGAAAAUGUAAACACGCAAGUUUACUUGACUUUCUCCCUCUUCUAAGUCUUUAUUUAAAAUUAUGUGUGACGCUGUCUGUUUUAUUCACCUUUGUUCCCCUCGUGUUUUCCCCUGUUCAGACACUAAUUUACCAUGUUUGAGGUGAGACACCUCGGAUCAUACCAGACCCUGGCUCACUUACAUCUCCCUCUUUAAAAAUGUGUGUGUGUGUGUGUGUGUAUAUAUAUAUAUAUAUAUAUAUUUAUAUAUAUAUAAAAUUAUAUUUGGAGCAAGCAGGGCGUGAUCGGGCCGGUUGCGGGGGUUUGCCAAUGCAUGCGGUCAUGAAAUAAGAAUUAAUGGGAUUCUGACGUUUUAGCGUCUCAAGAGAUGAUCGAGCAAUGAAAAAAAUAUCAUGCAUCUCAGGAUAACACAACAAUUUAAAUCAUACUUUUAAAUACCCAUCAAAGGAAGAGGGAUUUAUGAAAAAACAAAGUUACACAUGUAAUAUUGUUUUUCUGACCGAGCGGAACAACUGAGCGAUCAGCUGAUACAGCGGAUAUAGGGAGAUUGUAAUUCAUUCCCAUCAUUAAAACGUGGCCACGAUACACAUCAUUUCUAUCGUUAUGUCACGAGCGGGGCAUUUUGUGCCAUACUAAUUAAAUAAGUUUAUCUAGAGCUAGAACUGUGUGGUGGCCAGUGAAAGUUAGGACAGUUUAACUGAUGUCCUAGAGUUAGGAGAGACUAUUUAGGAUUUGGACGGAACAAGCAAAACGAGGUUAUAAAUGAGAAUUCCGUCGACUGUGCGAGAAUGAUUUGUUGUGACUUAGUUUGCAGUGUAAUCAAUCAUAAGUUUGGUUUUGUUUAAAGCCCGCCCACUGAGUUCAAUGGGUGAGUGAGAAUAUUUUAAUGGCCCUACUUGGGUGAUUUAAAUGGUCAUUUAAAUACUAGUUUUAAUAAUGAUAGAAAUAAUCAAAUUCUAAUUUAAAAAAAACUUGUAUGACCCCUAUUUAUUGAGUAUUGUCACAAAAUACCCUUCUCAGGUUAAUGGCCUAAGCGUAUUAAAAAAACGAAAUUUACAUAUGAAUUAUAUAAAAAUAUAUUUUUUCAUAACCGUUGUUCUGCCUGGGCAUCUGAACCAGUUCUUAAUGCAUACGUUUACUCGCAGUAUACAUAGUCAGCCAUUUAAAUCUUUAUUUCGAGUUUUAUUUUUAUAUUAAAACUACAGUAGUUACGAUGGAAACACCUGUUAUGCUGAAUCGGCCAAUCAGAGAGCGCGAUCCAGCGCGAUUUCAUUUAACUUUAUUUACGUUCGAAAUUCACUUACUUCUGGUGAAUCAAUUUCACUGAGAGGCAACUUACAUGAUGGCGCAUCACAAAACAAACAUUUUCUGCGGAUUUCUUUGCUGUUGGACCAAGAAGAAGCAGCAGCGUGACAUCGCCGCUACUCAAGGAGCAGUGGAUGAUCAAGUUACCAAGAAGAAGCCCCAGAAGAAGAGCUUCAAACUUGGACGCAAGUUUCCAUGGCUGAAGCGUGUGAAGUCCGGAGCAAAGGAGAGCUCAGACGAUGACGGACGCGUGUCCGUUGACUGCAGGGACUCUGGAGACAACAACACUCUCACCAGCAGCCAGAGUCCCAGCCUUGUCACUGUGGACUCAGAGUCACUAACGUUUGGAAGCUCCUCUACUGGAAGUAACGUAGAGGAGCACCAGUCCCCUCUGGAGGUGACACGUGACAUCCCACCUAAUGAGGGACCUUUCCUGCCCCUGAGAAGGAUCCCCAAGUGGCAGAUUCUCCCCUGCAUGGCGGAUAGGGGUGAUGUGGGGGAUGGAGAACACCAGCGGCUGGUCUGCCUCGGGCUACCAAACCUGGGACAGACCUGCUACAUGAACGCCACCCUGCAGUGUCUCUUCCACCUGCCAACAUUCUGCGAGGACGUCAGGAGGCAGGAAGAACACUGGGAUUUGGUCCCCUAUGCUGACCUGAUCAGACAUUUUGCUGAACUUCUACCUGCAAGACUUGGAUCAAGCUCGAAGCAGAAGAAGACUUUCUUGAGAAACCUAAUUCAUUCGGUUUCGGACCAGUUUGCUGAAGAUGAGCAGAAUGACGCCCAUGAGUUCUUCAGCUGCCUGAUAUCGCAGCUGAAUGAGCUGGGGAAGCUAAUUCAGGCCUGGGAGACAACAGCCGCGUACGCCUGUCCUGUGGAAGGAAACCUAUCGUUCGAGAUGCUGUGCCAGAGGACGUGUACCAGCUGUGGAGCACAGUCCUCCAGGACGGAAGAAUUUACGAAUCUCUCCCUGGACGUCCUCCCACAUUCGUCAGUGGAAGACCUGCUGAAGAUCUACUUCAAGGAUUCCGAGGUGGAGUUCAGAUGUGCCACCUGCAGGGGGAGCCAUGCUGUCCUGUCAUGGGCAUUUAUUACACUGCCUCGUGUCCUGGUCCUGCACAUGAAGAGAUUCAGCUUCACACCACAGUUUGAGCUGGUCAAAGUGCAGGACCCAGUUCUCCUCCGCAGGGAGAUCUCCCUGCUCCCCCACUUCAGGGAGAUCUCCCAGCUGACAGGGACACCCCAGGCAGCACGGCUCCAGGAAGCUCACCUGAUGGAUGGCCAGACCACACAGGAGGCAGAAAUGCCGGCUGAAGAACAACCAGGGGAUGCUUCAAGGAUGUUAAGUGGAGAUGCAGAAGAAGAUGCUGCUUUGGAGGAGGACAGCGAUACUGUCUGCAAUAACCUGCCUACAGUGGAAUCACUGCCCCCUGCAGCUGGACCAGAGACAGAGCAGCAAACACCUGCACUGCUGAGGGCGGAAACAGUGGUUUCCGAGACGUCAGAAGAGCAGCCAGCGGGACACCAGUACCAGCUUGUCGGUAUUCUCAGCCACCUUGGCUCCAGCGCCACCUCUGGUCACUACGUCAGCGACAACUUUAGCGUGGCAGAGAAGGGCUGGCUGUCUUUCAGUGACCACGUAGUGACCAGAUCAGAGGAGGAGCAUGUGCUGAGAAUGAGGCAGAGAAGCGCGUACAUGCUGUUCUACACCCAGCAGGAGGACUUACACUGAAGACAGCUGAUGUCUCCAUACUGGGGACUAAUACUUAAAAAUAGGUAUGGAAGUAGGAGAACAUGGAAGAGGACCGGAAGCAGACGUCUGCAUGAACCUGCGUUGGAUAUCACCAUCGCCAUUUUCACCGGGACAAUCUACAGCAGCAGUCCUCCCUAUUUAGAUAACUUAAAAUGUCCAUUUUCUUUUAUUUACACUAUAUUGCCAAAAGUUUUGGGACUCCUACCUUUACAGACAUAUGAACGUUAAUGACAUCCCACUCUUAAUACACAGGCUUUAAUAUUGAGUUGGCCAAUAUUACAGUUGACUGUAAUAUUUAGUAGUGAGGAAUGGACAGGUGGCAUCCUAUCAAGGUACCACGCUUCAGUUCACUGAGCUCCUGAGAGCGACCCAUUCUUUGGUAAAUGUUAAUAGAUGCAGUCUGCAUGCCUAGGUGUUUGAUUUAAUACAUCUGUGGCUGUGGAAGUGAUUGGACCACCUUUGGAGGGGUGUCCCAAAACGUAUGGCAAUAUAUCGCAUGUCAGAAUAAAUUGAUUGUAGAUAGGAAGUAUUGUGUGACCAUAUGUGAAGGACCAAGUUACAAGCAUAAGGGGAAGUAAUAUAAUGUCAUAUAAUGUACAAUAAUUAAUAACAAAAUAACAUUGCUUGUUUUACACCAGUCAUAUGAAAGUGUUGAUAAUUUUCAUGGUCCCUGAGGAAUUUGUUUAUAGCAUCUGCUUUCUGCAGGGACCUUUAUUUGAACAAUUGUAUUACUUUGUUACGAAAUGCAAAAUCUGUGAACAUUUGUUGUAUUAAAAUGUCAAGCAUUUUGUUUGUACGCAAAUGGUGUUUGAUGCAGUUCUAGGUUCAUGACAUACGUGAACAUUAGGGGAAGCGAGCAUUAAAGUAUGUGGGUACCCCACUACAGGAAUUACCCAACGCUGAGGCCGGUGAACCAUUAAGUACACAGUCACAUGGAAGGUUCACCUUCUUGGAUACACUGUGAUGGAGCCAGUGACAUAGCUAAUGAUGCCAACAAAGCAGUGGGUCGGGCCCCCCCUCCCUCCAGCUACAGAGAAUAAUGCAUAACGCCUGGCGGUAUAGAUAGCUAAUGGUACAGAUACCGCUUCAGUUUUGGUGUCAUUUAUUUAGUUACCUUUUUUAUUAUUUUGCUGGAUGGGGGAGGGUGUGUAUCUGAUGUGUUGGGAUACUGAUGUUUAAGGUUAAGAAAAUUUCAAUAAAAAUAUUUUUUUAAAUAAA